rnacentral:rRNA from 1 species
UGGGGAAUUUUGGACAAUGGGGGCAACCCUGAUCCAGCCAUUCCGCGUGAGUGAAGAAGGCCUUCGGGUUGUAAAGCUCUUUUGUCGGGGACGAAACGGUUACGGUUAAUACCCGUGACAACUGACGGUACCCGAAGAAUAAGCACCGGCUAACUACGUGCCAGCAGCCGCGGUAAUACGUAGGGUGCGAGCGUUAAUCGGAAUUACUGGGCGUAAAGCGUGCGCAGGCGGUUUUGUAAGCCAGAUGUGAAAUCCCCGGGCUUAACCUGGGAAUGGCAUUUGGGACUGCAAGGCUAGAGUAUGGCAGAGGAGACUAGAAUUCCUGGUGUAGCAGUGAAAUGCGUAGAUAUCAGGAGGAAUACCGAUGGCGAAGGCAGGUCUCUGGGUCAAUACUGACGCUCAUGCACGAAAGCGUGGGGAGCAAACA